rnacentral:rRNA from 1 species
UACGUAGGGUGCGAGCGUUAAUCGGAAUUACUGGGCGUAAAGCGUGCGCAGGCGGUUAUAUAAGACAGUUGUGAAAUCCCCGGGCUCAACCUGGGAAUUGCAUCUGUGACUGUAUAGCUAGAGUACGGUAGAGGGGGAUGGAAUUCCGCGUGUAGCAGUGAAAUGCGUAGAGAUCAGGAAGAACAUCGGUGGCGAAGGCGCUUUGCUGGACCAUAACUGACACUCAGGGACGAAAGCUAGGGGAGCGAAUGGG